AUGGCCCAUAUAUCAGAUAUUAAACUGAUAAGAACAGAUACUACACUUGAUCUUAGCCAAAAGGCCGAGAAAGGUAUGAGCUCUUCCGCUGCCCUGCCUCUCCUUUUAUACGCCUCUCGCGGCUCCCUCCACUCACCGCAGGCGAGGUGGGACUAA
rnacentral:rRNA from 1 species